GACGAACGCUGGCGGCGUGCCUAAUACAUGCAAGUCGAACGCUGAAGGAGGAGCUUGCUUCUCUGGAUGAGUUGCGAACGGGUGAGUAACGCGUAGGUAACCUGCCUGGUAGCGGGGGAUAACUAUUGGAAACGAUAGCUAAUACCGCAUAAGAGUAGAUGUUGCAUGACAUUUGCUUAAAAGGUGCAAUUGCAUCACUACCAGAUGGACCUGCGUUGUAUUAGCUAGUUGGUGGGGUAACGGCUCACCAAGGCGACGAUACAUAGCCGACCUGAGAGGGUGAUCGGCCACACUGGGACUGAGACACGGCCCAGACUCCUACGGGAGGCAGCAGUAGGGAAUCUUCGGCAAUGGACGGAAGUCUGAACGAGCAAAGCCGCGUGAGUGAAGAAGGUUGUCGGAUCGUAAAGCUCUGUUGUAAGAGAAGAACGAGUGUGAGAGUGGAAAGUUCACACUGUGACGGUAUCUUACCAGAAAGGGACGGCUAACUACGUG
rnacentral:rRNA from 1 species